GACGAACGCUGGCGGCGUGCUUAACACAUGCAAGUCGUACGGUAAGGCCCUUUCGGGGGUACACGAGUGGCGAACGGGUGAGUAACACGUGAGUAACCUGCCCACAACUUUGGGAUAACGCUAGGAAACUGGUGCUAAUACUGGAUAUGUGCUCCUGCUGCAUGGUGGGGGUUGGAAAGCUCCGGCGGUUGUGGAUGGACUCGCGGCCUAUCAGCUUGUUGGUGGGGUAGUGGCCUACCAAGGCGGCGACGGGUAGCCGGCCUGAGAGGGUGACCGGCCACAUUGGGACUGAGAUACGGCCCAGACGCCGACGGGAGGCAGCAGUGGGGAAUAUUGCACAAGGGGCGCAAGCCUGAUGCAGCAACGCCGCGUGCGGGAUGACGGCCUUCGGGUUGUAAACCGCUUUCAGCAGGGACGAAGCUUUUUGUGACGGUACCUGCAGAAGAAGCACCGGCUAACUACGUG
rnacentral:rRNA from 1 species